CGUUGGUUUGAGCCUGAUUCGCUUGAGCUAACCAAUUCUGAUCAAUCGAUCUAUUAGUAUCUAAGAUAAGUUAAUAAGAUGUGGUUAUUUAAUGAUUUCAUUAGCCGACCUGGCCAAUUUAUUGGUGCCUUAGGAAGACAACGGGAGGACCCCCAUCGAUCUCAACUUACCUGACCAAUUUUAAAGAUUGGGUCUUGAAUUAGGUUACUUAGUGGUUUGGUUUAAUCCAUGCCAGU
rnacentral:lncRNA from 1 species